rnacentral:rRNA from 1 species
AGUGAACGUUGGCGGCGUGGAUUAGGCAUGCAAGUCGAGCGAGAACCGUAGCAAUACGGGGACAGCGGCGAAAGGGACAGUAAUGUGUAGGUACCUACCCCCGGGUUCGGGAUAGCUGCGGGAAACUGCAGGUAAUACCGAAUAAUGUCUCCGGACCAAAGGUGUGAUUCCACCUGGGGAGGGGCCUGCAUCCUAUUAGCUUGUGGGUGGGGUAACGGCCUACCAAGGCGACGAUGGGGAGCGGAGGUGAGAGCAUGACCCGCGUCAGUGGGACUGGGAUACUGCCCCGACACCUACGGGUGGCUGCAGUCGAGGAUCUUCGGCAAUGGGCGAAAGCCUGACCGAGCGACGCCGCGUGCGGGAUGAAGGCCUUCGGGUUGUAAACCGCUGUCGUAGAGGAGGAAAUGCAGGGGGGUUCUCCCUUCUGUUUGACCUAUUCUAGGAGGAAGGACGGGCUAAGUUCGUGCCAGCCGCCGCGGUAA